rnacentral:antisense_RNA from 1 species
CAAAACCACAUUCCUGCUGCUGUCAGUUAUGAUGCACUGAGAAAACUUCAGAGACCUAAACAUUUUCCAGAGAAGAGAAGCUUUACUGGUGUUCCAGUCCUAAGCAACCAUCUUUCCUGUGAAAAAUCCCCUCUCCUAGUACUUUAGUUCUGUGGAUCCAAAAAUUAUAGCAUUCUUCUCCCACCACGGGGGCUCAUAACGACAUUAACAGACACUUUUCAGAAAGACAG